UACGUAGGGUGCAAGCGUUGUCCGGAAUUAUUGGGCGUAAAGAGCUCGUAGGCGGUCUGUUGCGUCGGCUGUGAAAACCCGGGGCUCAACCCCGGGCCUGCAGUGGAUACGGGCUGGCUAGAGGCAGGCAGGGGAGAACGGAAUUCCUGGUGUAGCGGUGAAAUGCGCAGAUAUCAGGAGGAACACCGGUGGCGAAGGCGGUUCUCUGGGCCUGUACUGACGCUGAGGAGCGAAAGCGUGGGGAGCGAACAGG
rnacentral:rRNA from 1 species